AUGGUUCAAAUCCUAUACUGAUGUGGAAGCAAUGUACAUGUUGCCCGGAUGCUCAGAUUAUUCCUCCAUACUGCUAGACACAGAAGUUGUAAAGACCAGGGUAAAUAGGCCAUACAGAUUACUAAAUUCAGUCAUGAACCAUCAAGAAUACAAGACAGCAGUCCAUACAAUAUGGAACCAGCAGAUUCAAGGUUGUGCUAUGUACUC
rnacentral:lncRNA from 1 species